AUGCAUAAGCUCGUAAAUGUUCAUUAUUUGGACAAGACGACAUUUAUGCUUGAAAAUGACGAUGAAGGGGAAGAGGCUAUGAUUUUUGACACAAGUCCAAGCUUUGAUGAUCUUGUAGUUAAAGUGAGAAGCGUGUUACAUUGGAAUGACCCAAAUGCCGAGGUUAAGCUUAUUGGGAGGUAUGACGUUGGAUUGGGAGUAAAGUCCCGAUUAAAGAGUAUGCCCAUCACCUCCCAAUUGUAUUGGAAUGUCUACAAGGAAAAAGUAGACGCAUCACAAGACAAGUCUCUUGAGAUCUUUGCCACAAAGGUUGAUCCUCCUCCUCCCUUGCAAAUUGAUCUCAACCGCAAUCCAUCCUCCCCAAUACAUGAUGAUAGUGCCGAGGUGUAUAUCCCCAAUUGUUCUAGCCAACCACCAAGUAGCCAACCC
rnacentral:rRNA from 1 species